AGAUGAAAGGUAAACAGAAGAGGACCUGGAAAAAACAAACAAUGAAAUUACAUCCAGCAAGGGGUUCUAAAUCAAAAUGCCCUAUACAACAUGACAUAUUUCCCUAACCACUCUCUCAGCUUCAAGUGAUCCAUCACGGAAUCUCCUCUACUCAUUGUUUUCAAAUAUUUUAGCUACAAAUGGUUGUACAUUUUCCUUGUGGGUUUUUU
rnacentral:lncRNA from 1 species